ncrna:Evansella cellulosilytica DSM 2522 L31-Firmicutes ribosomal protein leader
CUCUGUUUCGAAAGACUCAGGGCGGAAGGAG